ensembl:lncRNA
UAACUUCUAGAAGUGAUGCACUGAUUGGGUGCUAACCACAUACAUCAAACGAACAAGUUUGAUCUGAAUGAGUCAUUCAGUGUUGGAAAGAACCAUAAGAAAAAUAGCAAAGAUGUGACUGUGUUAAUGGAGAAGAGGCAUUUGCAGCAGAUGGCUUAGAGGAUCUCCGCAAAAUCGAAACUGAAAGUCUGUGGCUUCUGUUCCAUAUUACAACGAUAUUUCCACUUCCAUAAAGAUGUCAACAAAAACAUUUCUGCAUGAAUCACAUUCUCCUGUACCAUAUAUAAAGUUGGCACAAAGUUUGAAUGAGGUCAAGUGACUUAGUAAGAACUGGAAGUGAAAAAACUUUUGCAUACAAAGAGGAAAGUUAUAUGAAUUGCCACCCUUUCAUGUCUGCCCCCUUCUACCCUAUCAGCUAUCUGAGGCAGUGACUUCAUUCUACUUAAUGGUAGGUCUGGCUCCUAAAAAGGUCAUGAUAUAUUUUUCUAAAGUUCUUCUUUAAUGUGGUUUCUUUGUUUCUGUAAUCAUACAAAUGCCUAUACUUAGCUUACAAAAUGACUAUGCUGUGUUUAUCAUACUAUCAUUUGGUGCCUAUUUGGGAACCAAGUCAGAUUGUACUUCCAGCUCUGGCAAGCCUUGUCAUUCAUCUGAAUGAGUUUAGUAAAGGUAAAAGUUUCCCCCUGACAUUAAGUCUAGUUGUGUCUGACUCUGGGGGUUGGUGCUCAUCUCCAUUUCUAAGCCGAAGAGCCACAUGACCUUGGAGGUGUCUAUGGACAACGCCGGCUCUUCGGCUUAGAAAUGGAGAUGAGCACCAACCCCCAGAGUCAGACAUGACUGGACUUAACGUCAGGGGAAACCUUUACUUUUAUCUCAGAUGGCUACUGGGUACAAAAAAACAAAACAUUCCUGCUCUUUUUCAAAAGGGGUACGUGCCACAGCAGAGCUGAUGUGGGGUCUAAUUUAGGUUGAGCCAAGAGUGGAAUUGUCCAGCAAGGAAUGACAUAGUUCUGUCAGGAAGAUGGGAUGGGACAGAAAUAAAGAUUUAUUAUUAUGUAGUAACUCUCUUUGCCAUCAUCUUCAGAAUGGUGCCUGGACAGUAAGGUGAGUUUACUUCCAUUGCAAAUUAGCUAUAUUCAUCCCAUGUAUUGCUUUGUGUCUUUAUUUGGAUUGUUGAAAAAGCCUCAACAACAGAGAAGGGAAAUAAGUAGACCUUCAAUGUUGCUGGAGUGUAAUUCCAAAUAGCCCUGAUCAGCUCAGCCAACUGUGAGCACUAAUGGGAGUUGUAGUACUACAAAAUAUGGAGGCCACAAGUUGUCCCUUGUUGUGGUACAGUGAUUAGAGUCCUAGGGUUCAUUUACAUCAGUGAUUCCCAAAGUGGGCGCUACUGCUCCCUGGUGGGUGCUGGAGCGAUCCAGGAGGGCAGUGAUGGCACCUAUUAGGACACGGGGUGGGGCCAGAGGAGGAGUAGGGCCUCUUCCCAAGUGCCGGAGACAGGGCUGAGCACCUGACGCACCUGUUAAGACACGCAGGGGGUGUACCUAGAGGAGUGGGUAUGGCUUCUUCCCUUCUAUACUUCUCCUGAGGCGCUUGUUGGAACACAGAGGGCGGAGCUAGGGAAGGGGGCGGGGCCUCCUUCCAAGAGCCUGAGACAGGGCUGAGCCUCUAUACCUCCUGAGAGGCUUUUUAGGACUAAAGGUCGGGGCUAGGGGUGGGGGCGAGGUCUCUUCCCAAGAGCGCGAGACAGGGCUGAGCCUCUGUAUACCUCCCCUGAGGCGCUUGUUAGAACAUGGGGGCGGGGUAUAGAGGUUCAGCCCCAUCAGGCACUUGAUAAGAGGCCCCACCCCCUUCUCUAGCCUUGCCUCCUGUGUCCUGGCAGGUGCCGCAGGACAGGGAUAGAAGCUCAGCCCUGCCUCAGAGCUUGUAACUUUGCC